UACGUAGGUGGCAAGCGUUGUCCGGAAUUAUUGGGCGUAAAGGGCGCGUAGGCGGUCCGUUGCGUCCCGCGUGAAACUCUCCCCGGGCUCAACUGGGAGGGGUCGCGGGGAUACGAGCGGACUCGAGCUCGGUAGGGGGCCAUGGAAUUCCCGGAUGUAGUGGUGGAAUGCGUAGAGAGUCGGGAGGAACACCAGUGGCGAAGGCGGUGGCCUGGACCGAGUGCUGACGCUGA
rnacentral:rRNA from 1 species